rnacentral:lncRNA from 1 species
CCUCAGUACGUUGCAUUAAUGACACAGGUCAAAUACAGUCCAGCGGUCAUUGGGGAAACUUGUUCUUUCUGGAAUUUUCCGAUAACAGCUGUUUGGAUCCAGCUGCCCAGUUUCGGUUUCGUAAUAAUGGUGCCAUGUUAAAUCUAAACCGACAGGGGUGUGUCGCUGCUUUAAAUAAGCCUGGUUCUGGAUAUGAUCUUGAUAUGUUUUAUCUUUACGUUGACUCAGUCAGUUUAGAUAGAGUUGCUUGCGCUCAAAAGCCUAACGAGGGCAUCUAUCGUGGUAUAACCCAGACACCGGAGGGAAGCCUGUCUGUCUAUUAUAAAGGGAAAGAUAAGAGUUCUUUUGAAACCUGGUUUGCAGAUUAUAGACGAAGUGACAAACUUUCUAAAAGUUAUGGAAUUAAUGUCUACAUCGGAUUAAAGACAAACUAUGUUAACAGAUAUAUUUUCGGUAAGUUUUUUGUUGAACAUCUUUCGUAUUUUGAAAGACUUUGUUCCUGGGAGUUAUUCUGCAUGAUGACAUGUUUAACCCACUGAGCGCCAGCCCUAAUUUAAAAUCUUUUUCUCUCGCUAAAUAUGCUGAUUUGACUCCCAUUCCUUGUCCUUGUUAACUAAACAUUCUACCCGCCAUUUCGUUUACCCAAUAAUCUACACGAAAUAGCACUGAAUUAAACAGACUUAUACAGAAAUUGUAGUCCCAGCGGCGUUGUUAACUUAAAACUUAUACAUGCAGUAGCUAGCUUGUAAUAUCUCUUACUACAUAUAAUCCUAAGAGUAUAUGAGUAAUAUUUAGGGGAUAAAGUUUCUCAAAGCUUAUGUAAGUCAGUAGGAUUUUAUAUACAAGCUCUUUCGCCGUCAUGUAUUACUUUAUUAAUUAUUAAUGAGAAUUACACAUACCAGCUACUAAUUGGGUACAUGUUCAUAAAUAUAUGUAGCAAUGCACGAGAUAUAUUUUCAUUUUAAAUUUAUGUAAAUGUUUAUCAAAACUAAAUGAUUUAAUCAAGAUUCCCCCUUAAUUAAUUAAAUUCCCCCUUCACAAAAUUAAAUUCCCCCACACAAACGCAACAUUAAUACAAUUCACCACAGGGUUUAUUUUAACGUGCAGUUCUACACAAAAUGUGCAGUUCUAAACCCAUUUGUGCAGUUCUUAAAACACAAAUGUGCGGUCACCAAACUAGCAAAAGUAGCCUUAAAACAGUCUUCUCAUUUACUCGUUACCCUUGUGGAUGCUCCAGAAAAUUCCAGAAAUGUUGAGCAUCAAAGAUAUAAACGUUUUCUGGGGGAGGACUCCAGACCCUCCUGUUUUCCUCACAAAUCACUUACGUGCUGGAAUAAUGGAAAAGAAGGUAAAAUUGGGGCGAGCGAAGGUCUACAAAAGAGAUUAGAGUGGGAGAACCUAAUAUUCUUUCCUGCCUGAAAUGCAAAUUAAAGUUUAUUAUAUAUUGAAUAUCCAUGAAUCCCAGUUACAUGUUUUGAAACCGUUUUUGUGAGUGGUUGGGUAAAACAAAUCUUUGCCAGAACUUAAAAUCCUCUAGAUUCAAAUUAUUUUGGGGAACACCCCCNNNNNNNNNNNNNNNNNNNNNNNNNNNNNNNNNNNNNNNNNNNNNNNNNNNNNNNNNNNNNNNNNNNNNNNNNNNNNNNNNNNNNNNNNNNNNNNNNNNNNNNNNNNNNNNNNNNNNNNNNNNNNNNNNNAACCACACCAUUAUUUUGUCACUUAUAUGCAGUAAAAAUCCUUUGACACCCCCAGUCAAACACCCGUUGCUUUUGUAACAUCCCUAUAUAUGUGCAGUUCUAAAUUUUUCUUAAAAUAAACCCUGAUUCACCGGAUCAAAAAAUCAUUAUGGCUUAAGUAAUUAUGUGAUAUUGACAUUGCGCUUAACGAAAUGAAAAUAAUUUUUCUCAAAAAUAUUAUAACUGACAGAGUUUUGAAACAAAAACAAUUAUUCCUCCAUUAAAGGUUCGGUGACAUGUUAUGGUGAUAAUGUGAAGAAUGCCAACUGUCCUAAAGAUCAAUACAUUGUGGUCAAGUUUGCAUCUUAUCGUGGAUUGCUUGGCAAAAAGACAUGUGGUUUCAGUGACGAUUAUAGUUGUGAAGUUGAUGUAACAUGUCUUGUUAAGAAACAAUGUAAUGGUCUACAUGAUUGUAGUAUAACUGUGGAUGACAAUUUGUUUUCUGGUGAUCUAUGUCCUGGAUUGUCAAACUAUCUUUACUUUGAAUAUCAAUGUGUUGAUACUGUAAAACCAUACAAAGAACUCUGUGGUACGCAUGGGUAUAAGUAUAGUUCUAUUGAUGGUUACAACUUGUAGGUUUAACUUCUCUUAAGGAUUGUGCACAUGACAAUCGAGUUCCCAUGCAUAGUGUAAAAUGUUCAACCUCGAUUUGGCAUACAAUUUCCAUAUGCAUGUACCAUACAUAUCAGACACGUCCACUAUGGCCGUACACCGGGCAAGAUAACCAAUAACCUUGUUCUCUUCGUGCUUUUGUAGUUCAUGACGUGUCUUUAUCAUAUUCAUCUCUACCUUACAAAGGUGUUGUACAAAUUACCAUUGAUGGUGAGACCAAGAAUGUUUGUUGGCAAAGUUUAGAUUACUACGCGAAGCAUACUGUUUGCCGUUACCUGGGAUACGGCAGGGCAUACUCUCUUGUUAAUGUGUCCGCUCCAAUGGAUGCAAAAGAUGAAACAUUUUCGGGAAGUAUAAACUGUAAUGGUAGAGAAAAAGAUUUAUCCCAGUGUUCAAUCAAUGCUUCGAUCAGCGAACGUUGUUCUGGGUUAUCAUACAUAGAGUGUAUACCAUUAGGUAAGACCGAUAAAACUAAGACAAGAAGGAAGGAAUAGAAUGCAGAUGUAAAAGAAAUGGGCA